UUGUUUAUCCAAAAGGCCAGAAGGAACCAAAAGGGAAACACCGUGUGUUAUUUAACUUGAAGUCUUGAAUGAUUGAUGACGCCAAGCAAAAUACAAAUCUCGCUGUCUCCUUCAAGUUUCGAUUGUCUCUCUCUCAAAACAUCUUCAAACCCACAAGAAAGACAAAACUGUACGCGUAGAAAGCUCUGUUUUUUUCUGUUUGAAAUGGAGAAGAAACUGAGAUGUGUUCGGUGGGGUUAUGAGGUUAACGCCUCUUCUGAUCAUUGCAUCGACGCAAUCGACUCCUAUUUUCAUCAGGUUCUGAGUUAUGGGAGGAACAGGAAAGUGAUUCUAGAAGCUCCACUCCACGACAAAGAUUGUGUCUUGGGCAACAUUUUAGCUGCUCACUACCUUUCCUCAUCUGAUCAUCACAGAGCUAAGUCCUAUCUUGAAGCUGCGACAUCCAAUCUUGAACAAUCUACACCUUAUGAGAAAGCGGUUUUCGAGGCUGUUAGUUACCUCAUCUCCGUGGACAGAGAUGAUGACUUGGCUUUUGAGAUGCACACAAAGCUACUUAAAAGAUUCCCAAAGGAUUUGGUCUCUCUGAAGAGAGCUCAGAUUUUGAGUUUCUACAUGGGUCAGCCUGGUCCCUUCUUGGAUCUUGUUCACCAGGUUCUACCCGUAAAUCAAGAAGAAAGUUACCUACAUGGGAUACUUGCGUUCCCAUUGUUAGAACUUGGUCGAAUGGAAGAAGCUGCGGUAGCUUCAAGGAAAGGCUAUGAGAUAAACAAAGAAGACGCCUGGGCACAUCACUGUCUGUGUCAUGUUCUUCAUCAUGAAUGUCGAUUUAAAGAAGCAGUGGAGUUCAUGAAAGGAGUCUCAGAGUCUUGGCCUUCUUGCUCAUCCUUUAUGUAUACACACAAUUGGUGGCAUGUUGCUCUCUGUUACUUGGAAGGAGGGUCACCGAUGAGUAAAGUCGAGGAGAUUUAUGAUGCUCACAUCUGGAAAGAGUUGGAGAAAGAAGACGCCGUUCCUCCUGAAGUUUAUCUCAAUGCUCUUGGUUUGUUACUGCGUUUGGAUGUAAGAGAUGCUCUUGACGGUUCGUUUAAAGACAGUCUCAAACUCCUUGCAGGUCGUCUGACUGAUCAGGCAAACUGGUAUUUGGAGUGGCAUCUUGAUAUAUUGAUAGUUUGGGCAUUGGCGAAAGCUGGAGAGACAUCAAGAGCUCAUGAGUUACUCGAGGGUCUGAAGUUCCGAGUAUCAAAGAUGAACAAGAAGAAACAACAAGUGAUGCAGAAAGGGAUUCAGCUUGGAGAAGCUGUGUAUGAAUACGCACAGGGUAACUACAUACAAGCUCUAGAACUACUUGGUUCAGAUUUUGACGCCAUUGGUUACAAGAUCAUUGGGGCAUCAGAUGAACAAAUAGAUGUUUUCAACGAAAUGUGGUGCCAGCUACUGCUAAAGACAUGCCAACCCUCCACUGCCAAAGAAGUGAUCAGAGAGAGGAUAAAGGUCAGAGAUGGUGUUCCCUUCACGUGGCGUUUGCUGGAGAAGAGUUAUGCCAUGGAAGGCGAUGCAGAGGCUGAGAGAGCAGGAGAGAGAGCUAAGAAACUGGAAGAAUCUUCUUAUUUCUAACUCUGCUUCUUCAUGAUAAAUAACUCUUAUGUGUGAAAUCCUUUGGAAUUGGUGUGUGCAUAUUGUUUUAUAGUGUAAAUAGAAGACACUUUUACUAGUAGCCGGGAAACAAAAAGUGUUUCAGAACACAAAACACAUACUAAACUCCAGUUUGGGGCUUCAAAUAGUAACUUUUGU